rnacentral:rRNA from 1 species
UUUAUAAUUAUUUAUAUUUUAUAUUUAGAAUUUAUUAUUUUUAUUUAUAAUUAUUUUAUUGGGGUGAUAUAUAAAUUUAAUAAACUUUAUAUUUUUAUUAACAUAAAUUAAUGAUUAAUUGAUCCAUAUAAAUGAUUAAAAGAAAAAAUUACCUUAGGGAUAACAGCGUAAUUUUUUUUUAGAGUUCUAAUCGAAAAAAAAGAUUGCGACCUCGAUGUUGGAUUAAAAUUAAUUUUUGGUGUAGAAGCUAAAAUAUUAGGUCUGUUCGACCUUUAAAAUUUUACAUGAUCUGAGUUUAAACCGGCGUGAGCCAGGUUGGUUUCUAUCUUUAAAUAAAUUAAAUAUUUUAGUACGAAAGGACCAAAUAUUUUUAAAAAUUAAUUUUUUUUUGAAUA